CCGUGUUCUGUGACUGACUAGGCUGGCGCCGGACUGGCGGGCGCCCGCUGGUCUGUCACUGAACACGAGA
rfam:Acyrthosiphon pisum strain LSR1 Contig13942, whole genome shotgun sequence.